AUGUUCAAAUUAGCUGCAUAUAUACUAAAAUUGGAAUGAUACAGAGAAAGUUAGCAUGGCCACUGCACAAAGAUAACACUCAAAUUUAUGAAUCUAUCCAUAUUUUC
rnacentral:snRNA from 1 species